rnacentral:rRNA from 1 species
GUAGGGUGGGCAAGCGUUGUCCGGGAAUUAUUGGGCGUAAAGCGCGCGCAGGGCGGUCCUUUAAGUCUGAUGUGAAAGCCCACGGCUCAACCGUGGAGGGUCAUUGGAAACUGGGGGACUUGAGUACAGAAGAGGAAAGCGGAAUUCCAAGUGUAGCGGUGAAAUGCGUAGAGAUUUGGAGGAACACCAGUGGCGAAGGCGGCUUUCUGGUCUGUAACUGACGCUGAGGCGCGAAAGCGUGGGGAGCAAACAGGAUUAGAUACCCUGGUAGUCCACGCCGUAAACGAUGAGUGCUAAGUGUUAGGGGGUUUCCGCCCCUUAGUGCUGCAGCUAACGCAUUAAGCACUCCGCCUGGGGAGUACGGCCGCAAGGCUG